GGCUGGGUAGCUCAGCUGGUUAGAGCGCACGACUCAUAAUCGUGAGGUCGGGAGUUCAAGUCUCCCCCCCGCCA
rnacentral:tRNA from 3 species